GGGCCCGUAGCCUAGCGGAUAAGGCACCAGCCUUCUAAGCUGGUGAUCGCGGGUUCGAAUCCCGCCGGGUCCG
rnacentral:tRNA from 2 species